rnacentral:lncRNA from 1 species
GCGCCCAUGCUAAUCUGUACAUCCAGAGAGCAAAGUGGGAUGAUCUGUCACUACACCUGCAGCACCACGCUCGGAGGACAGCUCCUGCUUGCAGCUUCCAGAUUCAGGAAGCCUGAGGGGAAGGAAGGAAGUACGGGCGAAAUCAUCACAUUGGUUUCCCAGAUUUCGGAAUCUGAAGCGGGCCCACAUCUUCCGGCCAACUUCCACUGAACUUCACAGCACUCGAAAGGGACCGAGAUGGAGAGCAAAGGUAUGUGACUGUCCCCAUCGGGGGACUUCCCGCUGCAUGUGCGUGUGGCCAGGGCAGUCCUCAGCGAGGGGACUGCAGUGCUUGGGAAGCGAGCAUCAUACUAGGUCGAUAGGAGGAGGAGAUGCUAUGUCCGUUGCAGCACCGGGG